rnacentral:rRNA from 1 species
CGCGAUUGGGGAGCUUGCUCCCCAUGAACCUGGCGCCGGGUGCGUAACGCGUAUGCAACCUACCUUAAUCAGGGGGAUAGCCUCUCGAAAGAGAGAUUAACACCGCAUAAUAUAACCGGAUGGCAUCAUUCAGUUAUCAAAUAUUUAUAGGAUUAAGAUGGGCAUGCGUGACAUUAGCUAGUUGGUAAGGUAACGGCUUACCAAGGCGACGAUGUCUAGGGGAUCUGAGAGGAUGGCCCCCCACACUGGUACUGAGACACGGACCAGACUCCUACGGGAGGCAGCAGUAAGGAAUAUUGGUCAAUGGGCGGAAGCCUGAACCAGCCAUGCCGCGUGCAGGAAGACUGCCCUAUGGGUUGUAAACUGCUUUUGUCGGGGAAUAAACCUUCUUACGUGUAAGAAGCUGAAUGUACUCGAAGAAUAAGGAUCGGCUAACUCCGUGCCAGCAGCCGCGGUAAUACGGAGGAUCCAAGCGUUAUCCGGAUUUAUUGGGUUUAAAGGGUGCGUAGGCGGCCUGUUAGUCGGAGGUGAAACUUGCAGCUCAACUGUAAGCUUGCCUUUGAUACUGAUGGGCUUGAAUAAACUAGAGGUAGGCGGAAUGUGACAAGUAGCGGUGAAAUGCAUAGAUAUGUCACAGAACACCAAUUGCGAAGGCAGCUUACUAUGGUUUAAUUGACGCUGAGGCACGAAAGCGUGGGGAUCAAACAGGAUUAGAUACCCUGGUAGUCCACGCCCUAAACGAUGAAUACUCGAUGUUAGCGAUAUACGGUUAGCGUCUAAGCGAAAGCGUUAAGUAUUCCACCUGGGGAGUACGCCCGCAAGGGUGAAACUCAAAGGAAUUGACGGGGGCCCGCACAAGCGGAGGAGCAUGUGGUUUAAUUCGAUGAUACGCGAGGAACCUUACCCGGGCUUGAAAGUUACUGAAGAUAGCAGAGACGCUAUCGUCCUUCGGGACAGGAAACUAGGUGCUGCAUGGCUGUCGUCAGCUCGUGCCGUGAGGUGUUGGGUUAAGUCCCGCACCGAGCGCAACCCCUAUGUUUAGUUGCCAGCACGUCAAGGUGGGGACUCUAAACAGACUGCCUGUGCAAACAGAGAGGAAGGAGGGGACGACGUCAAGUCAUCAUGGCCCUUACGUCCGGGCUACCACGUGCUACAUGGAUGGUACAGAGGNCGCUACNUAGUAUA